ACCAGAGGAGAUUCACGUGGUCGAGUCACCACUUUGGAAGAUUCAACUGGCAGAGACAUAUAGGAAGGAUUGCAAGGAAUAAAACAAGGAUUGCAAGAAAUACAGGAAGGAUUGCAAGAAAUAAAAAUCAAGCUCAAUGCUGCUCGUAGAGACACAGAAGGAGUGGGUGAGACUAAGAUGCUUCAUGUGGACAUGGUUGCUGAGGACACCCAGCUGCUGGUAUUCAGCAGUUAACUGGGGCUACAGUCCAGCCUCUUACAUCCUCGGUUGGAAGCCAGCCUGGAAACCCUGAAGAAACAAAUGACAGCCAAGAGGACAAUGGCAACCAGCUCCCCCUCUGGGCGGCAUGCU
rnacentral:lncRNA from 1 species